ACCAGAAAGUGGUGCUAUCAUUAUCAACUCUACAUCUUUUGGAACCAAUGUUAUGUAUAUGUGUAUCAUCACUAUCGAGAUUCAAUAUGAACAAACCCCUCACAUUGCAUGCAUCACCAUAAAAGAUAUUACUCAUAUAAAUAGAACAACCAUUAUUCUCUGACUUAAAUGAGUAACCGUCUCGCAAUAAACAAGAUCCAGAUAUAAUGUUCAUAUUUAAUGCAUGCACUAAAUAACAAUUAUUUAGGUUCAUCACUAAUCCCGAUCGUAACUGAAGUGAGAGCGUGUUGAUGGCGAUCACAUCAACCUUGGAACCAUUUCGUCACUUCAUCCUUCGCCAGCCUUCGUUUGUU
rnacentral:lncRNA from 1 species